AUCAAUCAAAAUGAAAACACUUGUUUUCAUUUUUCUGAUUUGUAUUUGGUGAAAAGUAGAAAAAACACAAAUAGUUCUUUUUACACUGCAUAUUUAUCCACUACCUUCUGUGGGUCUAAAAGAGUUGAUGAGUAUGUCCAUUACCAUUACUGUUCACACCCUUUUUCUUUUUUGUUCUUCUGCACUGAGGAGUUAUGCAUUGGGGGUAUUUGUGAACGGUCAAAACGUUCAAGAAACGAGGAUCAAACCUUAGAGUCUCAUAAUAUAUUUUGUAUAUGUGUUGUGACAUUGCCCUAGACAUUGUGACAUUUCAGGGCUAGGUCUUUUCAUAAUCAUACUGUUUUUUGUGUGAAGCAAUAUGGUAAGCAUUAAAACAAUUUGGAUAGGGAGAAGAGGGAUUUGGAGAACUGAAUAUAUAGUGGUCUCUUUUUGAAACCAGCUUUGUUUCGUUGUAAUAAUCUUUUAUGUUCACUUUACUUGUUAUUUAUGCCCUUUUUUCCAUUGUGUCAUGUUUUCUUCAAUGUCCUCUUUGUUAAGUUCUUAUUAUGUCUUCAGUAAAUAGAGAACUGACCAACAUCACUUUGAUGGACUGGAAUGUCUGGGGACUAAGUCAUCCAGAGAAACCCAACAAAAUAUUGUCUCAUCAUUAUAAGUUUAAAAGUCACACUUUUUACCUACCUAACCCUAACCCUAACACUAACCCUAAACCAAUUUGAUGAAUGCGUCUAGAAUCCUCAGAGCAUGCAAUAUUUUCACUCAGUUUGCACUCACAAGGUGAACAAUUUAAUAGGACAGUCAAUUCACUGUUUAUCGUCCUAACUGGGAUAAUAUGGAUUUCCUUAGCAAUCGUUUCUCCGUUUUACCAGAUCACAGAGUCACACAGUUUAAUCCCGACUGUAGAACUGAAUUUGAGUUCAGUGAAUCAAUACGUUUAGGACAUAUGGAAUAACGGAUCCCUUAAUAUUUACAUAUCUGUCAUCCAACCUAUUUUCAUUUUUCUCCUCAGUACACCCAAUAUGUUCAAGAACAGACUACUUUUUAAUUCACCAAAAAAUGUUGCCUAUGGUUACCCAAGUAAACUAUCACAGCAUAGUAAUCUGGAUCCUUCUCCGAUAAUUCUGGACUUCAGCUUCCCAGGAAAUAUGUCUUCCACCUUUUCAUAGUGGUUUACUGAGUUCAUUAAUACACAAAUAGAUAUUUUUAUUGAACUGAGUGAAUUAUCUGAAAUAAGUAAUACUUAUGAUAUUAAUGCUAGGUUUAAGAAGUCUUAUGAAAAUCUGUGUGCUUCUGAAGCUUGUGAUUCAGCCCUAGUGGAAGCAAUUUUCAGUAAUUUAGUUAUGCACAUUCUAGAUGACACAGAUAAAUAUAAAUUGAAAAACAAUACUACUCUAUCAGAAUUAAAUUAGGCCAUCAACAAUUUUUAAUCUGUUAAAGUUAGCCCAGAUGGGUUUCCCACUGAGUUUUGUGAGCCAUGUGAACCUAAAUUAGUCCCUUUACUAUUAAAAGUCUUCAGGAGGGUUUUAGACAAGUGGCCUGACCUACAACUAUGACACAACUAGCUAUUUCAAUGCUACUCAGAAAAUCACAUUUUUUUCUGAGUGUCAAAAUCAUCACAGAAAGAUCACUCAAACUCAAAACACAAAAAUAACGUUCAUCUUUCUCUCUAUUAGAACGGUUUAAGGAUUUUGAUGUUGGAUCAACAGAAAUAAAUGGGGUGCAUUUACUUCCUGCCCUCCAUCUGUAUUGGGUGAUGUCAGUGCUACGUCAUCUGAAACCCAGCAAUAGAGCGAACCUCCCAACAAACCCUCAUGUCAGUUAUAAUGGUGAAGGUACUGAUGCUCACAGCGAUACUCAAGAUAUGUGUGCCCCUUUUCCAGUCUGGCUCUAAUGGUCCCGGCUCGACUUUACUCAGCUCGCUUUGCGAGUGUUUCCACCGGCCUUUGUUCGAGGCUGGCCUUGCUUUUUAGGUCCCUGCUUCGGAGCUCGUGAGUGAUGCAAGCUUCGCUCCUGUUCACUGAUUGGCCGUGGGUGUGGUCAGACGUAGCAGAGAAGAAACACAAAUGGCCGCAAAAUUUCAAACUCCCUGCAACACGGAAGUGAUGGAAGCUACAAGCAAGCAGUGGAACAAUGAGAUGCCGACUUUUCUUUGCAUCAGACUUCAAUAUUCAGUGGUAGCUUAAUGGAAAAGUGAGGAACGAGUCGUUUUUAUCAAUGUAGCGGAGAGAAUGAAAAGCCUCGGUUAGCCGCUUUGGAGCCUGAUGCAGCCCCACGGUGAACACCGACUCAUGCAGAACCCUGCUGCUGCUCUCCCGCCAGGGAAUAGAAGAGGAGGAACAUGGCUGACAUGAU